rnacentral:rRNA from 1 species
UACGUAGGCAGCGAGCGUUGUUCGGAGUUACUGGGCGUAAAGGGUGUGUAGGCGGUUUUCUAAGUCUGGUGUGAAAUCUCCCGGCUCAACUGGGAGGGUGCGCCGAAAACUGGAAGGCUAGAGUGCGGGAUGGGUAAGUGGAAUUCUUGGUGUAGCGGUGAAAUGCGUAGAUAUCAAGAGGAACACCUGAGGUGAAGACGGGUUGCUGGGCCGACACUGACGCUGACAGCGCGAAAGCCAGGGGAGCAAACGGG